CGUGUGGUUCUAUUUUGUUGGUUUCUAGGACCCCCGUGAUGAUUAAUAGGGACAGUCGGGGGCAUCAGUAUUCAAUUGUCAGAGGUGAAAUUCUUGGAUUUAUUGAAGACUAACUACUGCGAAAGCAUUUGCCAAGGAUGUUUUCAUUAAUCAGGAACGAAAGUUAGGGGAUCGAAGACGAUCAGAUACCGUCGUAGUCUUAACCAUAAACUAUGCCGACUAGGGAUCGGACGAUGUUACUUAUUGACUCGUUCGGCACCUUACGAGAAAUCAAAGUGCUUGGGCUCCAGGGGGAGUAUGGUCGCAAGGCUGAAACUUAAAGAAAUUGACGGAAGGGCACCACCAGGGGUGGAGCCUGCGGCUUAAUUUGACUCAACACGGGGAAACUCACCAGGUCCAGACACAAUGAGGAUUGACAGGUUGAGAGCUCUUUCUUGAUUUUGUGGGUGGUGGUGCAUGGCCGUUCUUAGUUGGUGGAGUGAUUUGUCUGCUUAAUUGCGAUAACGAACGAGACCUUAACCUGCUAAAUAGCCCGUAUUGCUUUGGCAGUACGCUGGCUUCUUAGAGGGACUAUCGGCUCAAGCCGAUGGAAGUUUGAGGCAAUAACAGGUCUGUGAUGCCCUNAGAUGUUCUGGGCCGCACGCGCGCUACACUGACGGAGCCAGCGAGUACUCCCUUGGCCGGAAGGUCCGGGUAAUCUUGUUAAACUCCGUCGUGC
rnacentral:rRNA from 1 species